CAUGCCGUAAACGGUGGGCGCUAGGUGUAGGGGUCUUCCACGACUUCUGUGCCGUAGCUAACGCAUUAAGCGCCCCGCCUGGGGAGUACGGCCGCAAGGCUAAAACUCAAAGGAAUUGACGGGGGCCCGCACAAGCGGCGGAGCAUGUGGAUUAAUUCGAUGCAACGCGAAGAACCUUACCUGGGCUUGACAUGUACGGGACCGCCGCAGAGAUGUGGCUUCCCUUGUGGCUCGUAUACAGGUGG
rnacentral:rRNA from 1 species